rnacentral:rRNA from 1 species
GUAAACCCCCUUGAAGACGACGAGGUAGAUAGGGCAGAGGUGGAAGUGUGGCAACACAUGGAGCUGACUGUUACUAAUCGGGUGAGGGCUUGACCAA